rnacentral:rRNA from 1 species
GAUGAACGCUGGCGGCGUGCCUAAUACAUGCAAGUCGUGCGAACAGACGCGGAGCUUGCUCCUCUGACGUUAGCGGCGGACGGGUGAGUAACAUGUGGAUAACCUACCUAUAAGACUGGGAUAACUUCGGGAAACCGAAGCUAAUACCGGAUAAUUUAUUCAACCGCAUGGUUCAAUAGUGCAAGCCGGUUUUGCUGUCACUUCUAGCUGGAUCCGCGCCGCAUUAGCUAGUUGGUAAGGUAACGGCUUACCAUGGCGACACUGCGUAGCCGACCUGGGAGGGGGAUGGGCGACAGUGAAAGUGAGAGACGGUCCAGAGUCCUAGGGGAGGCAGCGGCAGGGAAGGUUCCGCGAUGGGCGAAAGCUUGACGGAGCGACGCCGCGUGAGUGAUGAAGGUCUGCGGAUCGGAAAACUCUGUUAUUGGGGAAGAACAAAUGUGUAAGUAACUAUGCACGUCUUGACGGUACCUAAACAGAAAGCCACGGCUAACUACGUG